rnacentral:hammerhead_ribozyme from 2 species
GCCGAAACAGCCCUACGGGGCUGUCUGCCGGAGAUAGUCUACCGGCACUGAUGAGGCAGACA